rnacentral:rRNA from 1 species
CCUACGGGAGGCAGCAGUAGGGAAUCUUCCGCAAUGGACGAAAGUCUGACGGAGCAACGCCGCGUGAACGAUGAAGGCCUUCGGGUCGUAAAGUUCUGUUGUUAGGGAAGAACAAGUGUUAGUUGAAUAAGCUGGCACCUUGACGGUACCUAACCAGAAAGCCACGGCUAACUACGUGCCAGCAGCCGCGGUAAUACGUAGGUGGCAAGCGUUGUCCGGAAUUAUUGGGCGUAAAGCGCGCGCAGGCGGUUUCUUAAGUCUGAUGUGAAAGCCCCCGGCUCAACCGGGGAGGGUCAUUGGAAACUGGGAAACUUGAGUGCAGAAGAGGAAAGUGGAAUUCCAAGUGUAGCGGUGAAAUGCGUAGAGAUUUGGAGGAACACCAGUGGCGAAGGCGACUUUCUGGUCUGUAACUGACGCUGAGGCGCGAAAGCGUGGGGAGCAAACAGGAUUAGAUACCCUGGUAGUCCACGCUGUAAACGAUGAGUGCUAAGUGUUAGAGGGUUUCCGCCCUUUAGUGCUGAAGUUAACGCAUUAAGCACUCCGCCUGGGGAGUCGGUCGCAAGCUGAAACUUAAAGGAAUUGACGG